AGUGAACGCUGGCGGUAGGCCUAACACAUGCAAGUCGAACGGCAGCACAGUAAGAGCUUGCUCUUACGGGUGGCGAGUGGCGGACGGGUGAGGAAUACAUCGGAAUCUACUUUUUCGUGGGGGAUAACGUAGGGAAACUUACGCUAAUACCGCAUACGACCUACGGGUGAAAGCAGGGGAUCUUCGGACCUUGCGCGAUUGAAUGAGCCGAUGUCGGAUUAGCUAGUUGGCGGGGUAAAGGCCCACCAAGGCGACGAUCCGUAGCUGGUCUGAGAGAAGGAUAAGCCACACUGGAACUGAGACACGGUCCAGACUCCUACGGGAGGCAGCAGUGGGGAAUAUUGGACAAUGGGCGCAAGCCUGAUCCAGCCAUACCGCGUGUGUGAAGAAGGCCUUCGGGUUGUAAAGCCCUUUUGUUGGGAAAGAAAAGCAGCAGGUUAAUACCCCGCUGUUCUGACGGUACCCAAAGAAUAAGCACCGGCUAACUUCGUG
rnacentral:rRNA from 1 species